GGUGAGUAACACGUGGGUGAUCUGCCCUGCACUUCGGGAUAAGCCUGGGAAACUGGGUCUAAUACCGGAUAGGAGCCAUUUUUAGUGUGAUGGUUGGAAAGUUUUUUCGGUGUAGGAUGAGCUCGCGGCCUAUCAGCUUGUUGGUGGGGUAAUGGCCUACCAAGGCGGCGACGGGUAGCCGGCCUGAGAGGGUUGACGGCCACAUUGGGACUGAGAUACGGCCCAG
rnacentral:rRNA from 1 species